rnacentral:rRNA from 1 species
UACAGAGGUCUCAAGCGUUGUUCGGAUUCAUUGGGCGUAAAGGGUGCGUAGGUGGCGCUGUAAGUCGGGUGUGAAAUUUCGGAGCUUAACUCCGAAACUGCAUUCGAUACUGCGGUGCUUGAGGACUGGAGAGGAGACUGGAAUUCAUGGUGUAGCAGUGAAAUGCGUAGAGAUCAUGAGGAAGACCAGUGGCGAAGGCGGUUCUCUGGGCCUGACCUGACGCUGAGGAGCGAAAGCGUGGGGAGCGAACAGG